rnacentral:lncRNA from 1 species
UUGUAUCUUGUAUAUAGCUUUAGAAUUAAGUGAAAUAAGUCAUUUUGAGUUCCAAAAUUAUGCACAUGUGAUAUAGUUUGUCCAGUCCCACCUCUGAUUGGUUGGUUGAUGUCUUGUCGAAGGACAGGAUGCAGGAGCGGCUGCCUUGUAGCUCAUUGCCAGCACUGUUGAUUAUACUCACUCUUUUCAAGCUGUUUGUAAGUCGCACUGAUACUCAGCUUCACAGAAACAUGUUGAAAUGUAUGUAAAAUUGUAGUUAAUUAAGUAAAAACUUUAACAUUUUCCCUACAGUACAUAGAGCUUUACUUGAAUUAAAUAUAAAAUCAGAGUCUAAGUAGAAGCUAUAUUGAAUUAUAUCUGCCACCCAGAUUGGGUCCCAUAGUUCGACCGAGUUGCAAGCACGCAAUGCUCAUUUAAUAAGCCACCACACUUUAAGGAUAAAACUCUUCUGUGAUUUGUUUCUGAGGAAGUGCAAACCUCCACAGGCUGAAAGCAUGUUGUCUUUGCUGUCUCCCCUCAGACUUGCAGGUCAUCUGGCCUUGUAGGCAUUUAGGUAAAGGCAACGGUCUCAUGUGUGAUAUUUUAAUUGGUAUGUACUUUGAAAUGUGUUGUCCUAAACCAUGAUCAAAGAAGAGAACCAGGCUAAAGAUAGGGAAGGAAGCCCACCUCCUCCCAGGGGCUCCUUGGCUGCUCCUGGAGCUCCUGCCUCCUGUGGGAAGGUGCAGAUGGGGCUCUCUGGUUCUGCUGCUUGGGGCAGUUCCUCCAGACCUGCUGCCUCCCCGCUGUGGCUGUCAGCAGUGUCUUCUGCCCUUUAAUGAUGAGAGUGGUUUUUGUUUUUUGUUUUUUAAAAAAAAGCCUUAAAGAUUCUAGUGAAAUGCCUUAAAGAUUAUGAUGGUCCUGAAUAUCUUUAGAAUUCAGAGUUAGCUACGUCACUUAGUGCUGUGUAGAGGCUGGCAGUACAACACUACAUUGCUGUGGCUUACUUCAUUUUCUCAAUGUACUGACAAAUUGGACGAGGGAAAGGACUGGAGUGUAGCAAGGCUUUUAUGAAUAGUUUCAAAGGAGGCUGGCUCUUGGAUGAGUUCUGCUGUGCUCACUGAUAGCUUUCUGUGGCAUGUGGCAUGUGGCAGUAUUCCGGUCCACGCAUUAGAGAGAUGAACACACAGUGCUGGCCAGACACUCAGGCUGCUUGUUCUGACUGCCCUGCUGUCUCUCCAGGAUGGACGUGCUGAUAAUAGUUUCAUUCUUUAUUAUUCAUCUGUUCUUUUUCAUGCUCUCACUGAUGAAUAAGAAUAGAGGCGCUCUGAAGGGUUCCUUAAGCUCAGCUUUACCGUGGCUAUAGAUAAAGGUGACCCAGCAGCAGCCGUUCACCGGGCUUCAUUGCAUCGCAUGUUUAAGAUUUCCAAAAUUUCAAAUUUAUUUUUAACACAGACCUCAAAGAUUAAUUCCGGCAUUACAGUGUACCUAACUAAUUGACGCUGGUGUUCGUUGUAGUUUAGUGAAUUCUGGCAUUUACUUCCCCCAAAGUAAUACAGCUUGCAACUUAUACUUCAGUGCAUCAAAGGUGCAUUUGGGGGGAAAAUAUAUAUGUUCACAUUUUACAAAACUUAAAUUUGUGGUCACGUUAGCAGUAUUUAAAAAUAAAAUUGUCUGCAUAUUAGGUAUGAUUAUAAGCCAAGCUGUGUUUGAAACUAAACUGCUACCCACUUUGAGUAAUUGGACAUUCCUAGAUCACCCAUUUAAAUUAACUCUUUGUGUGGUUGCAUUUUGACCAUUAGCAGGACUAGAAAAUGUGUAUUUUUUUUUUUUAAUGAAACCCUGUAUCCAUAAUAACUUCAGUUCUUGGAUCCAGGGCUUCUGACAAAGUGAAUGAUGAAGCAAAGGGAACCGUAAACCCCCCCUUUGUGCGUGUCUAUGUCUCCAUUCCCAGCCUGCCCCUCUGGUUUUGCAGAGAUGGUCACUUGCACUACUAGGUGGAGGCGGAGCCGACUGCGACCCAGGCCUGCCCUCUGCUUCCAAAGCACUUGUGUCCUGAAAGGAUGCGGCAUGGCUGUGCGACAGCAGCUUUCCCUGUCUUUGACAAGAGACUUCAGAUACUCUGGAGAACCUCAUUGUGGAGUUUAAAGGAAUAGAUUGGAAUUUGAAAGCAUCAAAUUGUAGAAAAAUCUACAUUUUUCUUUUGUAGUAUGAAACAUUAAUAAAAGGAAAAUCUUAGAGAGGUAAACUCACCAUUUAUUACCCUGUAAUGUUUUCUAAUGAAACACAACUAUGAAAAGGUGUCUGGCUUCCGCCUGGCUGAGUCCUGCCGCCUCCCAGGGGGUUGUCGUGGGUAGCUUCUUCUGUUUACAUAGAGGGGGACCAUGUGGACAAAGAAAGAUUUAACUAAAUACAAUUUUUCUUCGUAUUGAUCUUCUCACUAUCUUAUUUUCUAGAUCUAUCUCAUUCCCCAACCUUAUUUGGGGUAUUAAUUAAUUUUUAACAGGGAAAGCUUGCUGUGUUAUCGAGAUUUUUAGCACCAUUUUACACGAAGGCUGAAGGUUAGCUCUUGGAAAUGACAAGUUCCUUUAAAAUAUGUGUUUACUUUGCUCUGUGACAUUUCUGGAUCAUUCCGGUCAUCAAGGCUGAUCACGUGUACUAUUUCCUGCUACCUGUGAAAAGGAUUGUAAGAAUGUAUAACCAACACUCCAUUGCUUUUUAUUAGUAUGUAGAGAAUUUGUAUCUAAUUAAUGAAUGUAGUUUUACUGUAGUUUGUCAUUGUAAAUGGAACAAAGUACAUUAUCUUUAUAGUUAUUCUAAAAUGUACAUUAUGUAAGAAUUGUAAAUAUACUUGGUUACUUUGUAUGCUGAAAAUUUACAAUAUUAAGUCAAUAAAAAUAUCUCACUUCUG